GUGCUCUUGGGAUUGUAACAGGCACAGGCAGCACCCUUCUACAGAAGUAAAAGUGACUUGCUGAGAAAUUUUCUAAGUGCGGGUUUCUUUUCGCUACACCGAGCACUUGUUUCCAACACAUGCAAACCAGAAUGGAGGUCUCCCUGGACCUGGGUUUGGGCCACAAGCUUGCAAGACCUUGGGCAAGACUGUUCCCUCUUCUGAACCAAGUCCUUCCCUGGCCCAGCCGCUUGGUUCCAGCUGGGGCUCCUUACAAAAGAGAAAAACAGUUCAUUAAUGCAUGUAGUGCACCUCACUGAAGAAGCUUCAACAAAAAGCAACUCAGAACAGUGACUUAGAACUGGGUUAUGGAGCAACUUCAACAAAGAAUAAUCAACGUGUGGGGAAAUGACAGGACCCAGGAGAGCGGUUUUAG
rnacentral:lncRNA from 1 species